GCUUGUCUCAAAGAUUAAGCCAUGCAUGUCUAAGUACAAGCCUCAGUAAGGUGAAACCGCGAAUGGCUCAUUAAAUCACACCUAAUCUACUGGAAAGUUACUAGUUACUUGGAUAACUGAGGUAAUUCUAGAGCUAAUACAUGCGUAAAGUCCCGACUCUCGCGGGGAGGGAUGUAUUUAUUAGAUAAAAAACCAAUGCGGCCUCUGGUCGGUAUUGUGGUGAAUCAUAGUAACUUUUCGAAUCGCAUGGCUUCACGCCGGCGAUAGUUCAUUCAAAUUUCUGCCCUAUCAGCUUUCGACGGUAGUGUAGUGGACUACCGUGGCGUUAACGGGUAACGGAGAAUUAGGGUUCGAUUCCGGAGAGGGAGCCUGAGAAACGGCUACCACAUCCAAGGAAGGCAGCAGG
rnacentral:rRNA from 1 species